AGAAGCUCGAGCAUACAGGUUC
rnacentral:miRNA from 1 species